CGCGUAUUUUGCCCAGGCGGAGCUCGACCGCCCACUGAAACGAUGAUCGGGUUCAUCAACGAUCACCGGGCCGAGUAUGGGGUCGAGCCGAUCUGCCGGGUUUUGCCGAUCGCCCCU
rfam:Ruegeria sp. ANG-R contig_15, whole genome shotgun sequence.